rnacentral:rRNA from 1 species
AACGAACGCUGGCGGCAGGCCUAACACAUGCAAGUCGAACGCCCCGCAAGGGGAGUGGCAGACGGGUGAGUAACACGUGGGAACCUUCCCUAUAGUACGGAAUAGCCCAGGGAAACUUGGAGUAAUACCGUAUACGCCCGAGAGGGGAAAGAUUUAUCGCUAUAGGAUGGGCCCGCGUAGGAUUAGCUAGUUGGUGAGGUAAUGGCUCACCAAGGCGACGAUCCUUAGCUGGUUUGAGAGAACGACCAGCCACACUGGGACUGAGACACGGCCCAGACUCCUACGGGAGGCAGCAGUGGGGAAUAUUGGACAAUGGGCGCAAGCCUGAUCCAGCCAUGCCGCGUGAGUGAUGAAGGCCUUAGGGUUGUAAAGCUCUUUUGCCGGGGACGAUAAUGACGGUACCCGGAGAAUAAGUCCCGGCUAACUUCGUGCCAGCCGCCGCAGUAACAC